CUGUGAAGCGAGACCGGAAGGACUCGUGGAGCGCUUAGAAGUGAGAAUGCCGGUAUGAGUAGCGAAAGAGGGGUGAGAAUCCCCUCCACCGAAUGCCUAAGGUUUCCUGAGGAAGGCUCGUCCGCUCAGGGUUAGUCGGGACCUAAGCCGAGGCCGAAAGGCGUAGGCGAUGGACAACAGGUUGAUAUUCCUGUACCACCUCCUCACCAUUUGAGCAAUGGGGGGACGCAGGAGGAUAGGGUAAGCGCGGUAUUGGAUAUCCGCGUCCAAGCAGUUAGGCUGGGAAAUAGGCAAAUCCGUUUCCCGUAAGGCUGAGCUGUGAUGGCGAGCGAAAUAUAGUAGCGAAGUUCCUGAUUCCACACUGCCAAGAAAAGCCUCUAGCGAGGUGAGAGGUGCCCGUACCGCAAACCGACACAGGUAGGCGAGGAGAGAAUCCUAAGGUGAUCGAGAGAACUCUCGUUAAGGAACUCGGCAAAAUGACCCCGUAACUUCGGGAGAAGGGGUGCUCUGUUAGGGUGCAAGCCCGAGAGAGCCGCAGUGAAUAGGCCCAGGCGACUGUUUAGCAAAAACACAGGUCUCUGCGAAGCCGUAAGGCGAAGUAUAGGGGCUGACGCCUGCCCGGUGCUGGAAG
rnacentral:rRNA from 1 species